AUCACUGGAGAAAGACAAAGACAAUACAGGUGAAUCAGUACAGCUCCAACAUGCAGUGUUGUCAUACCUGCAACCAGAGCUAAAGAACUAAACCAUAAUGCAGAAGCACCACAACUACAGAGCUGAAGAUGCAUCACUGGAGAAAGACAAAGACAUUACAGAGUUUAUAUAAAGCAGCUGUGAAGAUAAACAUCUGGUUGAAACCUGCUGCAGCUGUUCCAGUCAUGUCGACGGUCCAGACGGAAAUAUCUCAACAGAUUUUGUAUGUAUAGCCAUGAACUUUGGUACAUAUAUUCACAAGCACCAGAGGAUGAAUCCUAAUGACUUUGGUGAUCCACUGACUUUUCCUCUAGCGCCACCAUGAGGCUGACUCUUGUGGUGUUGAGUGGUGUUCCCCUCAGGAUGCAUUAUAAUAACUUUGGUGAUCCCUUAAAGGUACAGUGUGUAGGAUUUGGCAACAUCUAGUGGUGUG